rnacentral:rRNA from 1 species
UACGUAGGGUGCGAGCGUUGUCCGGAAUUAUUGGGCGUAAAGAGCUCGUAGGCGGUCUGUCGCGUCUGCUGUGAAAACCCGGGGCUCAACCUCGGGCCUGCAGUGGGUACGGGCAGACUAGAGUGCGGUAGGGGAGAAUGGAACUCCUGGUGUAGCGGUGGAAUGCGCAGAUAUCAGGAAGAACACCGAUGGCGAAGGCAGUUCUCUGGGCCGUAACUGACGCUGAGGAGCGAAAGCGUGGGGAGCGAACAGG